AUUGAACGCUGGCGGAAUGCUUUACACAUGCAAGUCGAGCGGCAGCACGGGGGCAACCCUGGUGGCGAGCGGCGAACGGGUGAGUAAUACAUCGGAACAUGCCCAGUCGUGGGGGAUAACACUUCGAAAGAAGUGCUAAUACCGCAUACGUCCUGAGGGGGAAAGCGGGGGAUCGCAAGACCUCGCGCGAUUGGAGUGGCCGAUGUCAGAUUAGCUAGUUGGUGGGGUAAAGGCCUACCAAGGCAACGAUCUGUAGCUGGUCUGAGAGGAUGAUCAGCCACACUGGGACUGAGACACGGCCCAGACUCCUACGGGAGGCAGCAGUGGGGAAUUUUGGACAAUGGGGGCAACCCUGAUCCAGCCAUUCCGCGUGAGUGAAGAAGGCCUUCGGGUUGUAAAGCUCUUUCGGCAGGAAAGAAACGGUGAGCUCUAACAUAGCUUGCUAAUGACGGUACCUGAAGAAGAAGCACCGGCUAACUACGUG
rnacentral:rRNA from 1 species